rnacentral:rRNA from 1 species
AACGAACGCUGGCGGCAUGCCUAACACAUGCAAGUCGAACGAUUGCCUUCGGGUGAUAGUGGCGCACGGGUGCGUAACGCGUGGGAAUCUGCCCUUAGGUUCGGAAUAACAGCUGGAAACGGCUGCUAAUACCGGAUGAUAUCGCGAGAUCAAAGAUUUAUUGCCUGAGGAUGAGCCCGCGUUGGAUUAGGUAGUUGGUGGGGUAAAGGCCUACCAAGCCGACGAUCCAUAGCUGGUCUGAGAGGAUGAUCAGCCACACUGGGACUGAGACACGGCCCAGACUCCUACGGGAGGCAGCAGUGGGGAAUAUUGGACAAUGGGCGCAAGCCUGAUCCAGCAAUGCCGCGUGAGUGAUGAAGGCCCUAGGGUUGUAAAGCUCUUUUACCCGGGAAGAUAAUGACUGUACCGGGAGAAUAAGCCCCGGCUAACUCCGUG